UCUCAUUCUCAAUCCCUUAAACUGUUUUUUUCUCUUUCCACAGAUGCUGUCCUUCAACUGAUCAAAUCCAGUAACCCAACCACCUGCCCACUGGAUCCCAUCCCAUUGGCAUUGUUUCAGUCAAAUUCUGAGGACCUACUGCCCUUCAUCAUGUUUCUCAUCAACAAGUCCUUGGCAUCAGAGCCAGCUCCAGGACCCCAACCAGUCUGGCUUCCAAUCAGCACACUCUACAGAAACUGCCCUCAUCGCAGUGACCAAGAACCACCAAUCUGAAAUCACCGAUCCUUCUGGACAUCCUCACCAACCUUGGAAUCAUUGGCUAUGCGUGGAAGUGGUUCAAGUCCUAUGUGGAGGAUCGCUCUUAUCAGGCUUCCAGUCGCAUCUCCGCAUGCCUGUCUG